CCAGAAGUCCCUAGGGUUGAUGAUACCCUAUAAAUAUUGCAAAUUUCAUUUUAAUACAUUACGUGGCUGUGAGCGACCACUGUGCAAGUUUGCUCAUGUGCCUGAACAAGGGGAUGAAAAGGUUUGCAUGGAUGUGUUUAAGAAAUAUAUAAAUAUCAAUGAACUGUGUUUGCUACAGCGUGCAGUAAACAUAUUUAUGGAGUACUACAGAAAGUUCC
rnacentral:lncRNA from 1 species